rnacentral:rRNA from 1 species
UACGUAGGUGGCAAGCGUUAUCCGGAAUGAUUGGGCGUAAAGGGCGCGUAGGCGGCUUUAUAAGUCUGGAGUGAAAGUCCUCUUUUCAAGGGAGGAAUUGCUUUGGAAACUAUAGAGCUUGAGUGCAGGAGAGGUUAUCGGAAUUCCCGGUGUAGCGGUGGAAUGCGCAGAUAUCUGGAGGAACACCGACGGCGAAGGCAGGCCUCUGGGCCGCCACCGACGCUGAGGCGCGAAAGCCGGGGGAGCGAACAGGAUUAGAUACCCUGGUAGUCCCU